rnacentral:misc_RNA from 1 species
AACGGAAGAGAAAGCUUGGGGAGGCGCUCACGAAGGUGCAUAGCAGUGAGAAGAGUAAGUCAAGAGAUGACUUGUUCAAAAAGAAACACGAAGAGAAUGCUUGGGGUUACACUCACGAAGGUGCAUAGUGAGAAGAGUAAGUCAAGAGACGACUUGUUCAAAAAGAAACGAAAGAGAAUGCUUGGGGAGAUAGAAGUGUGAGAUAGUUCUCAAGCUAAGAAAGUUGUAAAAGCUAAGAACUAGCAAGUAAUCGUCCAGGAUUCCUCCACCAGGACUUGAAAUCGUCGAGGGGAAAAAAAUCGGUUCCGAGGAAUCGUCGAUCGGACUUGGAAUCGUCGAGAAAAGUUUACCGGGUCCGAGGAUUUGUCGACCAGGAGUGGAAAUCGUCGAGAAAAAUCUAUCGGGUCCGAGAAUCGUCGACCAGGACGAGGAAUCGUCGACCGGGUCCGAGGAUUUGUCGACCAGGGUUGAAAUCGUCGACCGGGUCGAGAAUUCGUCGAC